UUUACAGGGCACAACUAAUAUCUUGGCGGAUAGUUAUAUGUAUCAACAGGCUGCAGUAAGGUCAAAAACAAGCAGGAGGGACAUAGCGGAAUGAAUGGAACGAAGAAAGAGCCUGCUGGAGAUGCAAAAUUAAUUCUCCCUGAAGUGGAACAGUUUUAUAUAAUUAUAGCAUGAUUGUCCUCACGAAAAUAUGGAUUUCCAUAGUAUAAAGGUCAAGGAAUGUGUCAAUGGAGUGUUACCGUCAUCCUGGUCGCAGUGGAGCACAUGCCGCCCGAGACGGAUCAUGUGGCACUACCAUCCUGAGUGCACUGCAUGUGGAAAUCAAAUAGAAGACCCAAUUCAUUGUAUACGUCAAGCUCAAGCGAGCUGCUGCUGAUUCUCCCUUCUCCUAUCCUAUUACGCAUCCCGUCCACGCAAAUACAUUGUUGUUCUCUCGUACCUAAUAUGGCUAAUAUGACUCACAAAAAUAAUUUUUGGCAUAGGGUCGCUGGCUGAUAAAGCUGUUUCCUUCUCAUCUGGCUGCUGCUCUGUUGGCGACCAAGGACGAAAAAAAGAGGGCCGCGUCUGGUGGACAUGGGAUGGACAAGGCCGCAAUAUAGGUGAUGCUGUGUUGCCGGAGAAACAAUAGCAACAGCUAGCAGCACUGUUUUCUCACAUCUUCCAUCCAUUGACGGGGUACUCAUAUCAAGUUAUCUCUUCUCAAUUGAUGUGAGAUUGCGUCUGACGUGGUUGACACUCACCUUAGGUAAUC